rnacentral:misc_RNA from 1 species
AAGCUGGUCCCAAAUUCCAGUAAGGUACGGAGUUUGAUAUAUAUAUAUAUUUAUGUAUAAAUGUUCUCAUUUCGACACAAAGCCUGCAAAUCUUAUCCCUGCAGCCGUAUGCACUAGCUUAUCAGAUUUGAUUUAUAUUGCAUUAAUUUUAUAGCCACAAUAAUUAUUUCAGUUGCUCAUUCAUCUUUCCAUUUAUUGUGGUACAAACUUGCUCUUCCAUAUUGAAAAGUUGAAUACUGGUCUUUUAUUUUUAUUUUUACUUUCAUUUUUACACUAUUUGUGGUAACUAGAAUUGACUUAAACUUACAGAAUAUUUAUAAUCUGCAAAUAAGUGAACAACACUAGUUGAUAUUACUCUUAUGUUAAUUAAUCUCUUGAUCCCUUGUUAGAAAGUAAAAUAUUUAUAUAUAUUGAAAAGUAUAAUGAUACAGGAGAGCUAACAUCAUCAUAAUAUGCACAAACAAAGCUAUAAAGUAAUAAAAGAAAGAACAAAAGCAAUAGAAGAAAGAGAUAUAUAUCUAUCGUCAUACGAUCCCACUUGAUCAUAAUUGAUUCUAAGUUGUGGACUAAAGAAUCUGCAUAUUUUUUUGGAAUUCCUUAUCCAUAGUAGAUAUAGCUACUUUUCUUUUCUUUUAAUGUACCUAAAGACUUUGUAAAAUGUAAAUAUAAUUAAAUAUUUCUCUAAUAAUAUCGGAUAUAUUCAAUAAUCUAUUGAAAGGUUGGAACAGGAUGGAAAAUUGUAACAAAUAGGAAUCAACGAGUCACUUGCGUAGAGUGGAUGAGUGUCGGCAUCAUCCAGUUUCAAUUAUUCCCAUUUGUAGGGACAAAUUGCCAGCAAGUGAAUUAAGUUGAUGUUGGAGUGUAUAUGGAUUUACUGUUUUAUCAUCAAUUGUAUGUGACAUUAGAAAAGAGAGAAGAAAUGUUACCUUUACCUGUAAAAUUAAUUUGAUAGUACAUACCUACGUAUAUGAUGCUCCCGCGAGUUUUCUCCGUCCAGUUAAAGGUGUCAAAUUAGACUGAAAAUAAAAAAAAGUGGUGAAAUUGGUGGUCAAUUGACCGGCCACUCCAAUGCUCAAAUUAAAGAUGUUAAUUGAAAAUAGUAAUAGUGAAUAGUAAAAAAUUCUGUAGUUAAUUUAAUAGAGUAAACAUAUCUAAUUAAUGUCUAUUUCUCAUAUUUAUAAACUAUAAACUAAGUAAACGUUGUAACUAUCUGUAAGAAUUUCGGAUAUUUAGUUAACAUUCUGAGAUUUCUUUCUAAAGAUCUAACCUUACCAUUGACUGGUAUUGUUGAUACUCAAUAUGGUUGACGUUCAGCCUGUAGGGCAAGCGUUUGAACUUGCUUUGUCAUCACUCAUACCUCACUUGCUCAAUGUUGUUAAUACAAGGCAUGUGAUGAUCAAUCCAACUCCUAAUGAUAUCCUCCCCUUUGAUUGAGCGCUAACAUUUUGAUUCUAACAUUGGAUUUUUUGACCGAAUGUUCAUUAUUUCACUCAACUUUAGGCAGGUAAUAUCAUUAUAGAAUUGCCCUAAUCAUAAAUGCCCAAAUUGGAUAACAAACAAAACUAAGAGUAUGUAUCAUUCGGUUAUAACCGAAUAACUAAAUCGAACUGAUAAAAUUCGAUUAUUUUAGUAAGAAUAAAUUCAAUUUGGUUCGGUUUUUUGUUAUUGGUUCGGUUAUAUUUGAUUUGAUAACAAAACUAACCGAAAU